rnacentral:rRNA from 1 species
ACCUGGGAAUGGCAGUGGAUACUGGCAAGCUAGAGUGCGGUAGAGGGUAGUGGAAUUCCCGGUGUAGCAGUGAAAUGCGUAGAGAUCGGGAGGAACACCAGUGGCGAAGGCGGCUACCUGGACCAGCACUGACACUGAAGCACGAAAGCGUGGGGAGCAAACAGGAUUAGAUACCCUGGUAGUCCACGCCCUAAACGAUGCGAACUGGACGUUGGGUGCAACUUGGCACUCAGUGUCGAAGCUAACGCGUUAAGUUCGCCGCCUGGGGAGUACGGUCGCAAGACUGAAACUCAAAGGAAUUGACGGGGGCCCGCACAAGCGGUGGAGUAUGUGGUUUAAUUCGAUGCAACGCGAAGAACCUUACCUGGUCUUGACAUGUCCGGAACCCUGCAGAGAUGCGGGGGUGCCU